UCUCAUUUUGAGGUUUUUAAAGAGAAAAUUUGUGGACAUACCUAGCACAGUGUUCAGUAUAGUUGGUGUCGAAUAAACAUUGUCUUUUUAUGUGGGGGUGAGGGGAAGGCUCUGGAGGAGGUAGAAAAGAAAGUUAGUCAAACUUCCUUCCAUGUCAUUUAUCUUCCUGCCAUUACCUUUUCCAGCCCCACUCAUUUGAUGGAACAGAAAACUUUCAGCUCAAAGACAGCCCUUACUUACUGUCUGAGCCAGUCCUGGCCAAUUGGGCUAUAUUUCAAGAGCCCUCCCACUAGAAAGAAUUUGGAAUUACUAUUGUGCUGGGGGUGGGCUAUGGGUAUGUACCCACUCGCUGAGCUUCGCUUUUCCUCUCUAACCUCCAUCUUCUGACUGAGAUUUGGCCUUGAUCUCCUGGGUGCAGUUUAAUUACUUUGCUGAGACCAAAAGCCUUCUGUCAAUACCACAUCUAUCCAGCUUGACCCAGCAUCUGCAUAACGUUAAUUAACCGCUUCUCACAAGCACUGAAUCCAAGUGAUGGUCUGUUGUUUAGUGUUUAUCUGCUUUAUCAGCCCACUGUCUGAAUGCCCUUCAUGAGCUUGGGGUCUCUAGCAUCUACAUAACGUUAACCUCUUCUCAUGAGUACCAAGCCAAAAUUGAUGGGUCUUUGCUCUUUAAGCAUUAAAAAAAAAUCAGUGCAGUGCCUGAACCCUCUUCUGAUGUUUGAAAAUCCUUCUUUGCAUGAGGAAGCCUGAAAGGCCAGAUGUUGAUAGUUAGAAUGUGGCCACCUGUGUGUGCUUGACGAAGAGAUGCUCAUGCUCAAGUCUGUAAAUUUGAAACCAGUGAUGCAGAGUGGCAAGGAAUAGGCCAGAAUUCAUUCCCUCUGAUAAGUUUCAUAAGCUAGAAAUUGACUAAU
rnacentral:lncRNA from 1 species